rnacentral:rRNA from 1 species
AGGACGAACGCUGGCGGCGUGCUUAACACAUGCAAGUCGAGCGGUAAGGCCUUUCGGGGUACACGAGCGGCGAACGGGUGAGUAACACGUGGGUGAUCUGCCCUGCACUUCGGGAUAAGCCUGGGAAACUGGGUCUAAUACCGGAUAUGACCUCAGGUUGCAUGACUUGGGGUGGAAAGAUUUAUCGGUGCAGGAUGGGCCCGCGGCCUAUCAGCUUGGUUGGUGGGGUAAUGGCCUACCAAGGCGACGACGGGUAGCCGACCUGAGAGGGUGACCGGCCACACUGGGACUGAGACACGGCCCAGACUCCUACGGGAGGCAGCAGUGGGGAAUAUUGCACAAUGGGCGAAAGCCUGAUGCAGCGACGCCGCGUGAGGAUGACGGCCUUCGGGUUGUAAACCUCUUUCAGCAGGACGAAGCGCAAGUGACGGUACCUGCAGAAGAGCACCGCUAACUACGUGCCAGCAGCCGAC